UCGUAUACAAACCUGGAGGCGCUAAAAUAUGCCGAGUGUUAAUUCGGUGUAUCCGGUUGUAACUUGUUGCAGCACUCGGACUGCGCUUUGAAAUUUCAAGAAAGGAUCUUUGCAAAUAUACUUACAUAUAAAAAAGGCACACAAAGGUUGUACCUUGCGUUAAUUUAAAUAGCGUUCAGAAGUUGUUGAAAUGCAACUGUUUGUAUAGCUUGACCUAUAAUUAAAUGUACACGAGGAUUGAAAUUACGAAGAGUGAGAGGCAGCAG